rnacentral:rRNA from 1 species
GACGAACGCUGGCGGCGUGCUUAACACAUGCAAGUCGAACGGUAAGGCCCUGCUUGCAGGGUACUCGAGUGGGGAACGGGUGAGUAACACGUGGGGGAUCUGCCCUUCGCUUCGGGAUAAGCCUGGGAAACUGGGUCUAAUACCGGAUAGGAACCAUUUUUAUUGUGAUGGUUGGAAAGUUGUUUCGGUGUAGGAUGAGCUCGCGGCCUAUCAGCUUGUUGGUGGGAUAAUGGCCUACCAAGGCGGCGACGGGUAGCCGGCCUCAGAGGGUGGACGGCCACAUUGGGACUGAGAGAAGGCCCCGACGCCAACGGGAGGCAGCAGUGGGGAAUAUUGAACAAUGGGCGCCAGCCGGAUGCAGCGACGCCGCGUGGGGGAUGACUGACUUCGGGUUGAAAAAUCAUUUCGCUAGGGACGAAGCUUUUUGUGACGGUACCUAGAUAAGAAGCAACGGCUAACUACGUG